AGAGCGAAACCGGGAAGAAGCUCUGUGCCUGUGGGGAACCCGCCGCCAUCUCAGUUCUCUUGGCCUAGCCAGUGCCCACCGGAGAAAGAUCUGACGCCCAGGUCCUGUAAUCCUUAUGGGGGACCAUCCUUGUACCUCCGGGAGAUCCACGCUCCCACCUGGAAACACACGGGAAGCCAAGCCUCCAAAAAAGCGCUGCCUCCUUGCUCCCCGGUGGGAUUAUCCGGAAGGAACCCCGAACGGUGGUAGUACCUCUCUCCCCUCUGCACCUCCUCCUGCAUCACCCAGCCUGAAGUCGCACCCGCCUCCUCCGGAGAAGUAGUAGAAUAUACUUCAUCCACCCCAAACCAGACACUGAGGGAUAGCGGUAUGACUCUGUUUCCUUGGUGCAUUCGUAAAAUAGUUAACCCAGUGAAGACAAUGAAGAACAUUGAUAAUGCUAUCCUGCUUUUUCUGAUAUCCUGCACCGGGAAGUUGUGGUUUUUAAGCUACACAGAUUUCACAAAGAUGUCUGGACAUAUAUGGGAUUCCUUCAGCAGCUGCAGCCUGGGCUGUCUUCCUCUUGACUGUGUGUAGUUCCUUCAGGACUUCAGAAGCUGAAUUAAUCUAACCCCACAACUGUAGGCCAUACAUUUUUAAGAGUUCACAGGGUCAAUGGGACAUAAGAUUAUUACAGUACCAGCCUCACAUCCAAAAAACUAGGAAGCACACUAAUACCCACCCAGUAGAACAUAUAUCCCAAGCAAAUUUAUGUCCCCAGGGGUUAUUACAUAGUGUAAAACAGACCCACAUUGCUGUUGUCAGUCAAAUAACUCAUCAGACUUAGUGGCAUCAAGAGGAAGAAAAAUACAUAGAGAAAACAUGGGUGAAAAGAGAAUAUCUUCUUGGUUUCAACCUCAGCAGGAUGCCAGUCUGUGUCAGUAGUCUGGACUUUGUGACCUGUGAACUUAAACUAAUUUACAAGAUAUUUCCAAGUGGUUGAUUGUAUUGUCCUGAGUUUCAGACCCAAACCUGCAGGAGUCCAGGGCCUGUCUGUUACUGCUAAUGGGACUUUCAUCAGAAACCCAAUGAGGAACCAUUGGCUUUGUCCAGAGCUCCUCUCCAAAACCAUGCUUAUUUUUCAAAAUUUCUUUCCUAGUCUUAGAAUAACCUUCACUAAUGUUUUCAAUAGUGGAAGGUACAAGGCCCAUUCCUCUACUUAUUCUUCUGCUACAGUAGGGCUCAGCCUUUUCCUCACAUGAGUUUCAUAGGGCUAGCCAAGAAACAGAAUAAAAUUGAAAAACAAAA